CAAAUCCCCACCUCAGUGCCUGGCUGAGCUCGAUGCUAGGGACUUGCUUGGAAAGAGCCUUGAUGUGUAUGCGCAUCAACAACUCUGCACACAGCACUUCAGGGCAGCCGACAAGCAACUUAGCAUUCUGACACAUUCUCACUUCCACAUCACAAAGCCCUUUCACUUAGGUGUUGAACGCAGCCAGCAUGAGGAAUGCCUCUCUGUGUCACCACCAAGAACGUUUCUACGUGCCAUAACAUGCCCUCUUAUCAGUGUCCAAAAGAAUAAAACAUCACUGCCAAGGCCCAGCAACAUCUCUUCCUUCCACAAUACAUCUUGGAGUUUGUGACACUCUAGGAAGACUGGCAAUCCUCCGGUUCUGUAGUCACUGAGACUAGCACCGCCGCCUCUGGCCUUGGCUUGAGCACUGAUGUCCACUUUUGUUCGCACACUUUCCCACAUCUGUGGUACCCCUUCUAGUUUGGGUUAACCACUCUAGACUACUGUUAAGAAGGUACACAACUGGUUGGAAGGUGGCACCUAAAAGAUGUCAUCAAUGACGGUCAACGUGGAGAAAAGAACCAAAGAGUGUCUCCCAGGAUCAAUUCCCCGCUGCCUUCCUUCCAUUUCCACUUGGGAAGAUAAUCUAGAAGUAGUAGGGCAAUGUUUAUCAAUGCCGUGACCCUCUGAGAGGAACUAAGUAUGCCAUAGGAAUCUGUUCGGGGCCCAGGAUCAUUCAAUAACUUCAACAAUGACCUGCAUGAAAGAACUGAAGAUGACCUCAUUAAAUCUGAUGACCACGAGA